rnacentral:tRNA from 1 species
GCCAGUUUAGCUCAGUGGAUAGAGCAUCGGCCUGCAGACCGAAGGUUCCCGGGUUCGAUUCCGGUCAAGGGCA